rnacentral:lncRNA from 1 species
UUGGUCAUCUCUUUAUGAGCUCUGAAGGGCCUAUUAGCAGCUCUGAUGAGUACUGGGGGAGAUGAAGUCGGCCUCGAACAACGUUAGCCGGCAGAAUCAAAUCACUCCCAGUCCCCUGGGGAGAAGAAGACGGGCUGGCUUUCAGACGCAGCGUCCUCGCCUCUCCAUCGCCCAGAAGGUUUAUAUGAACACUCCGUGGGGGGAAAAAAAGAACCAAGUGACACUCAGAACAUGAGCUGAAAUGGAUUCCUCUUCAUCAGAGGUGGGAAGGACACCAUCGUAUUUUUUUGUCAAUAAAAACAAUAAGAAACACUGAUUGAUUUACCUUCCUGGAGUGAAGAUAUUUUUCUUCCACCUUAGAAAAGGCAUCUUUCUGCCCAAGACAUGUCUGAUCAGCAAUUUCUGAUGCAUCAAAGAAAAAAAUAGAUGGAAGGUUGGAAGUUCUCACGCUCCCUCCAGUUUUGACAGGUGGUGUGGUCGGUACCUAAACUCCGAAAUGUCCAGAGAAGGUGCUCCUUGAAAGGCCUGUAGCCUAAUUUUAAACAGAAACUUCCACUCGAAUCUAAGUGCUCAGAAAAAGAAAAAUCCAUCUGCAACAGUGUAUCUCAAUCUGUAAUGUGACCACAGAUCACCUGGUGAUCUUGUGAGACUGCAGAUUCUGGCUCAGUAGAUCUGGGUUGGGGCCGGAGAGCCAGCUGUUCUCACAAGGCCCUUCACGAUGGAGGUGCUUGUCCCCUGACCAUACCUCAGGUAUCGAGGGGCUACGUGGCUCACCCUGAGCAUGUGUGUCCAAGCCAUGAGACAGCCAGUUGUCAAGCUGAUCACUCUUAGUCAACGCAGGAAAUCAUCCAAGAAAAAUGAAAAUGACUCCCGGGUUCCCAUGAUCACCUUCAAAGCCACCUUCAUCUUGAACAGCCAGUAGGGUUUGUAAAUGUGGUUAUGUUUUCCUAAAUUGGCACUCCUGCCAGACGAGUUUCCACCACUACAUAAUUUUAUAAAAUCCUAUGAUUAUAGGAAAAAAUAAAGGUUUUUUCUUUUUUGGGGGGGGCACAUCCAUGACAUAUGGAGGUUCCCAGGCUAGGGUCGAAUCCGAGCUGUAGCUGCCAGCCUACACCACAGCCACAGCAAUAAGGGAUCCGAGCCAUGUCUGUGACCUACACCACAGCUUAUGGCAACACUGGAUCCUUAACCCACUGAGCAAGGUCAGGGAUCAAACCCGCAACCUCAUGGUUCUUAGUCUGAUUCAUUUUUGCUGUGCCACGAUAGGAACUCUGGUUUUGUAAUUUUACAAUGAUCCUGAUUACAGCAGGGAAUGAAAGGAAGGUUUCAUAUAGAGGUUUGCAUCCACGCAGACACAUGUAAACCUCACUAAAACCCAAUGAGAAUGGUGAAGAAACCGAGGCCCUGGGAAGCAAAAUCCAAGAUUGGCUCUAAGCUCCGCCAUUAUUUCAUGGGAAUGCAGUGGCCUUCACAGUCUCUGUUGAGAGGUUCCUCUUUGGUUUUCCCCCUUUGAUGCUCAAGCCUGAUUUCUUCUCAUUGGGACCUAACAUAGAGCUAGACAGCAACCAAGUGUACAUCCCCACUCUCUCCAAACCUCUGCUUGCACCCAUUAAAACUGGGUAUCCAUAGGGUCCACUUCAGAGAACUGAUAGGGAAUCAACCUUAAAGGGAUCACGCUGCAAGGAUCCCAUGUGAAGGAGACACAAAGCCUAUGGUGAUCCCUCCACCCAACCAUGGAGGCAAAAUGAAGGGAAGGGCAGGAGCCCAAAAUCUGUGUUCCUGGCCCCAGAAAUCCACCGCCCAGUCAUUUCCUGCAUGUACUAACUUCCUCUCCAUGGCACCCAGUUACAGGGCUCCAUGACAGCAGGGCAGGGAGUGGCCAAGGGCUGAAAUGAAAUUGUGACUAAUUUCUGCAUAAACCAUGGGUAUGCCAGGAUUAGGAUUUCCACCCCCAUCUCGUAACUCUUUGACCUUUUAUGAGUGGGGUGUUGGGGAAAUGACCACGGAAGGGGUGACUUGAAUGCAGUUGGGGUAUCUGAGACUGCCAAUUCCUUCUAAACCUGCACAUGGCAUAGUUUACUGGGAAAUAGCUCAGCUCCAGAACCUGGCUUGGAAGCCUGAUUCUAACUUCCCAGGUGUAUGACCCAGGGCAAAGCACUUCACCUUUCUGUGCUUUAGUUUCCUCAUCUGUAAAUGUCUUAACAUUUUUGUAAGGGACAGAUGAAAUAACGCACAUGCUGCUCUUAUUUACAUUCCUGCCUCACAGUAAGCACUCAAUAAAUAAUAGCGAUUGCUAUUAUUUUUAUUUUAUCAUCAUCCUGCCAAUAUAACUUAAACCUUUUCGCCAUAACUCCUCUCUUUUCACAGUCUGGGUUUAGAGAGUCAGACAUGGUUUGACACCAAAGUUUCUUUUUUUCUUCUUUUCCCCAGUAAACACAGUCAGAGUCCCAGAGUUUCUCAUGAGAUGAAAUUUUUUUUGUGGUAUUUAAUUCGGCAAAAGGUAAAUGCUAAUUUUUUCCAGCUUUAUUGAGAUAUAAUUUACAUAUAACAUUUUAUAUAUUUAAGGUAUACAACAUAACCAUCGAGAUAUAUAUACUUAGUAUUUUCAUAUGGAAUAGCCACUGGAAAUAAUUGUCCUUCAGUGCUGGAAUAAAGUAUCGUAUCUUGAAAAAACGUAGCAAGGGAGUCUGAUCUAAAAUGCUAAAUCUUACAGGGAGGUGGUGUGUCGCAGGAACAUGGUAGAAGAUUCUAAGGUCUUACAUGGGCUCGAUGAGAGGGAAAGAUGAUUAACUGGUGAUGUCCAAUAUGGCCACAGUACUGGGAAAUUGACAACAGAACAAUCACGCUAUUCUUUUGCUUUCCUUGUGGUGUGGAAGACAGCAACGGCCUUGGAGUCAAAAGAGCUGAUUCAAUCCUGACUUUGUCCCUUAAUGAAUGGUGUGGCUUUGAACAAAUUACCCAGAAUUCCAGGCCCCAAUUCCUGACUUUUAUGAAUGGGGGCUACUCUGAGUAUUCUAUGAGUUGACUACACAUAAUUUAGUUUUAGACAUAGCAUGAGGACUGACAAUAUCAAAUCUCUCCUUGACUCUUCUUCCACCUCCAUCUCUCCUUUUUCUCUCCCUCCCUUCCUCUUGCAUUAUCCCUUUAUAUUUUCUGAAGACUGGCUAGUCAUCCUCUCCUUUCUCCCCUUGAUUUCUCUGAUGACCCAUCCCCACACAAUUUCCACUUGAAUAGGAAUAUUUCCACCCUUCGCCCAGAGCACAAGCGUUGGCCCCCAGUUCUGAACCUGUAGGAUCAGGGAAUCUCAUCACAUUGCUGGUGGCUUGCACUAGACAGCCUUGCACAAAAUAUUGUUGGGAAAGCUUAACCCUCAAAGUCUCUGCUAACUAUUCUAGAAAACAGACCAUUCAGAAGCCAUCAUUGAUUGACUAAACUCCUCUGAAAUACCUGUUUUCUUUUGGUCAUUGGGGAUACAGAUAUGAAAGAGAUCAUCUUGUACCGGACAGGUGGAGUAAUUAAAUUACCUUAGGGGCUGAAAGCAGAAUUCCUAGAGGAGGCCAGAGCUGAACUGGGUGUUAGAAUUUAUUUCAGCAGAGCAGGGAUAGCUUAUGAAAGGCACAGGGAUUCCCAAGCAUAAAAUCAUAGAAGCCCAGAGGUGGGCACAUUCUAAUACCACCAAUUCCCCUGGGAGGGCCUCUCCCCACUCCACCCUACCCCUCACCUGCACCCCAUUUCCUAGAAAACAUCUCUACUUCCAUCCCAUGAUCCAGGCUUACAGCUUUCACCUUAGUCACCUCUCCCAGCAUGAGUGAGCCUGUAUCCCAGGCUCUCUGGCUUCGUUACUAUCUAAUCCAUCAACCCAGCCCAGUGAAUUUCAAAGAGUAACCCAAAGGGAACACCCAAACAAGAAUCACCUGGGGAGAUUAUUAAAAGUGCAGUGUUCAGGGCUCCACCCAUGAUUUUCUGAGUCAGAAUAGCAGGGAAGAGAUUACAGGAGCCAGGAGUCUACAUUUUCAUAAGAUCUCCCCUCAAUUUCACUGUACACCCAAGAUUGAGAACUAUAGACUCCAUCCUUGCUAAGGUCACAUGAGUUGAUAACAGCUUACCCUUCCUGGAAACUUACUGAACAUCUUCUAUAGGCCAGUCAUUCUGUGAAAAAAGUUCAUACAUGUCAUGUCUUUAAAAGUGAUCAUGCAAUUGAUUUGUGCCCUGGUUUGAGCUGGGUUCAAAUAUUACGUUUAAUCCUCUCAACAACUUUAUUGACAACUGCAUAGAAUGAGAAUAAAUUCUACAGAGUUCCUGACGUGGCACAACAGGAUUGGUGGCAUCUCUGAAGCACCAGAAUGCAGGUUUGAUUCCUAGCCCAGCACAGUGGGUUAAAGAAUUCAGCAUCGCCUCAGCUUCGGCAUAGGUUGCAGCUGCAGCUUGGAUCUGAUCCCUGGCCCAGGAGCUCCUUUUGUCACAGGGUGGCCAAAAAAAGAAAAGAAAAAGGAAAGAAAGAAAGAAAAAUUCUGCAAGGUGUAGUUUCCUCCCAAAUAGUUUGAAGUUGAGAAGUAACACACAUAGAUUUGGUGUGUAUGUAUCUUUGUGCCCUGACUGCUGGCACUGCCUGGCCGCACACAGGACCAUUUGCCCUGCCUUCCAUAUUGGAAGCUCUCACACACCCUCUCUCAGGCCUGGCUUGUGAGUGUCUUCUCCAUGUAGGAACCUGCCGGGGCAUUCCCAUUGUGGCUCAGCGUGUUACAAGCCCGAAUAGUCCAUGAAGACACAGGUUCGAUCCCUGGCCUUGCUCAGUGGGUCAAGGAUCUGGACUUGCUUCAAACUACGGUGUACGUCACAGAUGUGGCUCAGAUCUUGGGUUGCUGUGGCUGUGGUGUAGGCCGGCAGCUGCAGCUCUGAUUGAACACCUAACGUGGGAACUUCCAUUUCCAUAUGCUGCCAAUGUGACCCAAAAAA